UACAGAGGUCCCAAGCGUUGUUCGGAUUCACUGGGCGUAAAGGGUGCGUAGGUGGCCAGGUAAGUUUGGUGUGAAAGCUCGGAGCUUAACUCCGAAAAGUCAUUGAAUACUAUCUGGCUGGAGGGUCGGAGGGGAGACUGGAAUUCUCGGUGUAGCAGUGAAAUGCGUAGAUAUCGAGAGGAACACCAGUGGCGAAGGCGAGUCUCUGGACGACUCCUGACACUGAGGCACGAAAGCUAGGGGAGCAAACCAGG
rnacentral:rRNA from 1 species